rnacentral:rRNA from 1 species
AGCGAACGCUGGCGGCAGGCCUAACACAUGCAAGUCGAACGAACUCUUCGGAGUUAGUGGCGGACGGGUGAGUAACACGUGGGAACGUGCCUUUAGGUUCGGAAUAACUCAGGGAAACUUGUGCUAAUACCGAAUGUGCCCUUCGGGGGAAAGAUUUAUCGCCUUUAGAGCGGCCCGCGUCUGAUUAGCUAGUUGGUGAGGUAAAGGCUCACCAAGGCGACGAUCAGUAGCUGGUCUGAGAGGAUGAUCAGCAACAUUGGGACUGAGACACGGCCCAAACUCCUACGGGAGGCAGCAGUGGGGAAUCUUGCGCAAUGGGCGAAAGCCUGACGCAGCCAUGCCGCGUGAAUGAUGAAGGUCUUAGGAUUGUAAAAUUCUUUCACCGGGGACGAUAAUGACGGUACCCGGAGAAGAAGCCCCGGCUAACUUCGUG